AAUGAAUGCUGGCGGCGUGCCUAACACAUGCAAGUCGAGCGGCAGCGCGAGUAGUUUACUACUUGGCGGCGAGCAGCGGACGGCUGAGUAACGCGUGGGAACGUGCCCCAAAGUGAGGAAUAACUGCCCGAAAGGGUAGCUAAUGCCGCAUAUGGUCUUCGGAUUAAAGUAUUUAUACGCUUUGGGAGCGGCCCGCGUCGGAUUAGGUAGUUGGUGAGGUAAAGGCUCACCAAGCCGACGAUCCGUAGCUGGUCUUAGAGGAUGAUCAGCCAGACUGGAACUGAGACACGGUCCAGACUCCUACGGGAGGCAGCAGUGAGGAAUCUUCCACAGUGGGCGAAAGCCUGAUGGAGCAACGCCGCGUGAAGGAUGAAGGCCUUAGGGUUGUAAACUUCUUUUAUAAGUGAAGAAUAUGACGGUAACUUAUGAAUAAGCACCGGCUAACUACGUGCCAGCAGCCGCGGUAA
rnacentral:rRNA from 1 species